rnacentral:lncRNA from 1 species
UUGUUAGGCUUUUUCCAUUUUUCCUUGAUGGGUUAAUUUUUCGUUAAACAAUGUGGCCAUGUAUGUAUCACAGAUUCACAAUAUGUAAAUGUUUAUGAAAGAUUCAAGAUUUGAUCACAAAUGAUACCUAAAACAAUACUAUACCAAAGGAGUAUACAUCGGAUUUUUUUUUUGUUAAAAGUCCUUCCUUAAUUGGAACUAACAAUUGAAUUUGGUGUAUACCCUUUGAUAUAAUAUCAGUUUGGUAUUUUCUGAAAUUGGGGGACCAGUGUAAUUAAUUGUAUUGUAGCGACGAGUCUAAUUUAGGCUGGUUAUUGUACGAAACUUAAUCAUAACCCAGUUUAACUAGUUUAAUACCUGUCCAUCGGACGGGUACUUUGACAUCAAAAAGACAUAAUUAUAUUUUUCUUUGCAUUCUAAACAAAAAAGAUUAUUAGACCAUGUGUAGUGGUUAAGUCAAAUAAUGCCCCCACCAUGGGGCGUUUUGCGACACGUGACAGUCCAGUCCAGUCAGCAUGGGGCAUUAUUGCAAAAGUGACGUAGUGCGAAUAAUGCCCACCAUGGGGCGUUUUGCGACACGUGACAGUCCGUUUUUUUUUUUAAUUUAAAACAUAAAAAAUUUUAUUAAUUUAAAAUAAAAAUUACUUUAUUAAUUUAAAAUAAAAAUUACACUACUUGAAAUAAAAAAAAAACCGAAAAAAAAAACAGAAAAUAAAAAAACCGAGUAAGCCGGCUUGUUGUUGUGAAGGUUGCGACCUGCCGGUUUAACCAUAGCCGAAGGUGGGAGGCAUGAACGGAGUGGCGCCACUUAAGUAAGCCGUGUACGUUAAAACACUCGGGUCCAAGUCUUGAAGGUUAUACGGGUGUUGCGGUUAGGUUGUGUUCGGGUUCAUGGGUCUUGCGGGGACACCAAAGGGAGGUCGGAAUGGAUGCAUAUUUGUAUAAAAUAUAGAAGUAGGAGAGAGUGUGAUUUUUUUUUUUUAUAAAAAAUAGGAAGAAGUGGGUAUUAUUUAUAUAGUGGGUAAAUUUUGGAAUUAAAAAAAAAUUAUUAAACAAUUGACCGUUGUCAACGGUCAUCUCUUGGCCCAAAGCAAUUUUCAGCGUUUUUUUUUAAAACGCCAAGUUCAAUUUUUUUUUUUCAAAAAUCACGCUAAAUAACGCCUACCGUAAUGGGGGGGGGGGGUGUUUUUUUUCAUUUUUUUUUUAAAAAUACCGCCCCACUACGGGUGGUUUUAGUUAAAAAAAGAUAUGGUAUGUUUCAUCAAGUUUUCAAUGUUACCCAUUCUACUCGUAAGAGAUAAAAGGUUACACUGCCAACCCAUCAUAAUAACCGAGUCAAAAUUGUCGUUUCUAAUUGAGAGACACUAGUCGUUUACCCGCGCGAUGCGGCGGGAAACAUAUCACUUAGGUUGGUGAGUUUAGGGCUAUGUACAGAGUGGUUCGGUUUGAAACAUAUCACUUAGGUUGGUGAGUAGGGACCCGUGCGUUUCGACGGAGUUGACGAUUUGCAUGUCAUGAAUGGCUUAAAAGAAGUGGUAAUUAACAAUU